rnacentral:rRNA from 1 species
UGGGGAAUAUUGCACAAUGGGCGCAAGCCUGAUGCAGCCAUGCCGCGUGUAUGAAGAAGGCCUUCGGGUUGUAAAGUACUUUCAGCGAGGAGGAAGGCGAUGCGGUUAAUAACCGUGUCGAUUGACGUUACUCGCAGAAGAAGCACCGGCUAACUCCGUGCCAGCAGCCGCGGUAAUACGGAGGGGGCAAGCGUUAAUCGGAAUUACUGGGCGUAAAGCGCACGCAGGCGGUCUGUCAAGUCGGAUGUGAAAUCCCCGGGCUCAACCUGGGAACUGCAUUCGAAACUGGCAGGCUUGAGUCUUGUAGAGGGGGGUAGAAUUCCAGGUGUAGCGGUGAAAUGCGUAGAGAUCUGGAGGAAUACCGGUGGCGAAGGCGGCCCCCUGGACAAAGACUGACGCUCAGGUGCGAAAGCGUGGGGAGCAAACA